rnacentral:rRNA from 1 species
UUGGAUAACUGUGGCAAUUCUAGAGCUAAUACAUGCAAAAAAGCUCCGCCCGCAAGGAACGAGCGCAUUUAUUAGAAUAAAAACCAAUCGGGUUUCGGCCCGUAAUUUGGUGAAUCUGAAUAACUUUGCCAAUCGCACAGUCCUAGUACUGGCGAUGUAUCUUUCAAGUGUCUGCCUUAUCAACUUUCGAUGGUAGGUUAUACGCCUACCAUGGUAGUAACGGGUAACGGAGAAUAAGGGUUCGACUCCGGAGAGGGAGCCUGAGAAACGGCUACCACAUCCAAGGAAGGCAGCAGGCGCGCAAAUUACCCACUUCCAGAACGGAGAGGUAGUGACGAAAAAUAACGAGACAGUCCUCUUCGAGGUCUGUCAUCGGAAUGGGUACAAUUUAAAUCCUUUAACGAGGAUCUAUUGGAGGGCAAGUCUGGUGCCAGCAGCCGCGGUAAUUCCAGCUCCAAUAGCGUAUAUUAAAGUUGUUGCGGUUAAAACGCUCGUAGUUGGAUCUGCGGCCUCGGAGAACGGUCCCCCGAAAGGGUGGUCACUGUCUCUCCUAGCCUAAAUUCGAGUCGUCUCUAGGUGCUCUUUACCGGGUGCUUAGAGUGACUAGAACGUUUACUUUGAAAAAAUUAGAGUGCUUAAAGCAGGCGAAAUAGCCUGAAUAAGGUGCAUGGAAUAAUGGAAUAGGACCUCGGUUCUAUUUUGUUGGUUUUCGGAACCCGAGGUAAUGAUUAAGAGGAACAGACGGGGGCAUUCGUAUUCCGGCGCUAGAGGUGAAAUUCUUGGACCGCCGGAAGACGGACGACUGCGAAAGCAUUUGCCAAGAAUGUUUCAU